AACCAAAUGAUGUGGGCAUUUAUAGAGCAAGACCUUGAAAUGCUCCCAGGUUUCAAAGAAAAGUUCCCCAUCCAUUUGUGUGAAACUUGUGAUUGCCCUUCGAAUAUGGUU